AGGAACGGGUACUGAGGUUUUAAUGAACUCAUUACUCAUUCCACUGUCAGGUGAAGCCUAAGUCUCCUCCCCUUGAAUGUGAGCUGAACUUAAUGACUUGAUUAUAAUGAAGAGAAUGUGACAGAAGCAGUGGUGUGUGAUGGUGCAGAUCAUGAAAAGUAUUUGACUUUCUCCUUGCUCUCUCUGAAGCACUCACUCUGUGGGGGAGGCCAGCUUUCAUGUCAUGAGGACACUCAAGUAGCCCUCUGGAGAGGCUCUCAUGGUGAGGAACUAAGGCGUUCUACCAAUAACCAUGCAGUGUGCCAUCUUGGAAGCAGAUCUUCCAGCACCAGUCCAACCUUCAGAUGACUGCAGCCCAGGCCAACAUCUUGACUGCAACUUCAAGAAAGACCCCAAGCCAUAACCACUCAGCUAAGCCAUUUCCAAUUCCUGAUUCUCAAAACCUGUAUGAGAUAAUAAAAUUGUUUGUUGUUGUUUUAACCCA